AUCAUGACCCGUUACGUACUGUGUCUCUGAAACUCUUCGCCGCGGUUCGGCGACGUACGAAGAACAUUUUCGAAAACGAUAGAAUCGUACCGGGUGGAUGGUAAACGCAUUAAUUACACUACCGGUACCACCGGACGAUGGCCGUGAUGUUCCAUGAGUUAUUUACGCGGAACGAAAUCGAUUUGUUUUCGCACAACGAAUAUGGGAACGUGAUCGACGAGGAGGACAACGACGGGAUCGUAAUGUAACCGUGAGCCUGACAAGAACGCUACUGAUGUUCGAGAAAUCGAAGAAAACGGUUUAUUCCACUAACGUGGUAGUCGCAACGUCAUCUCGCAAAAUUCCAUAGAAGCCGGAACGUAAUACGAUAUUGCACGCCACGACUUGGCCGUCCGAAUAUUAAUUAUUUGAAACGUUUUGUGAGAAAAUGUUCCAUUUUAAUAGCGUCGAACGGAUGAAAAAGACAACGCAUAACCACAACAGUAACAAGACAUUGUACUAAAUCUGUAAAUAUCUUGAGGUUGAUAAUUUAAUUGAUAUUUUUUCCGUCACACAACAAUAAUGUGAACUUUUGCUUUGUAAAAGUAUAAAUAUUACAACGAAAAGGAAGAUGGAAUAAUUUGACUUGGCAAUUCGAUAUUUAUUCCAACUAAAACUACGUUGCAUUUUUUUACUAACCAACUUUUUACACUUUUAGCGUUGUUAAUAAAGG